UUGUGGCGGUCGCGGGCGAGUGGGAGCCCCGUUUGGUUUUAAAGAAUUUGUGUUUUUUAUAUCGAAACUUCACCUCGGUUAAGGAUAUUAGCGAGCGGAGGGGCUUGAACAAAGCGGGAACGCCUGCAGCAAGCUGCAGAGGGGACUUCUCAGAGCUGUCGUGCCGCGGCGCUGCGAGCCAUGGCGUCUGGAGGUAGCACCAGGAGCAGCGUUGGUAAUCUCUCGGAUGAGACAUUCCCCAGCUUCCUGUCGGAGUCUGCCCCAGACAGCCUGGGCCCCCCCGUAGCCAUCUCCACAGCCGCACGGAAAGAAGGCUCCGACGACAGAACGUCGGACGUGCACGAGUCGUACUUGGAGGAGUCGUUGGCUGUGUGCUCGACUUCUGGAGCCUUUCGUGACCCCACCCACCUCCUGGGUGACCUCUCUCAACACAAGUUUGCGUUGAGCUUCAAGGAUGACCUAAGUGACGCGAACGACCUCGCCUCGCUGCGUCUCUCCGACAUGCUGCUGCCAGUCGAGCUGGAGGCUGGCAGGUUUCACGGUAGCUGUCAUAGGCCCCCGGCAUCGCCACCACUACCGCCCCAUGCUUCCUGCCGCCUCACGGCACUGCAGGGAGAGCCCAGUGCGGGCAACUGUGGCCAAACCACGGGCGACACCUCCCUGGGCCUCCUGCCUCUUGAUCUCGUGGACGACCUCUCAUGUGGGCUCAUGACGCUGACCGACAGAAUGGUUCCUGGGACAGAGCUACGUGCACAGACCGACAUCCAGAGGCUGCUCGCAUCUCCAUCCAGCGCCCCCGAUGACAGCCUCUGCAGCUUUGAGCAGAACGAGCUGCAGCAGCAUGGGGAUGGAGAUGGCAAUGGCGAUGACCCAGAACUCGAGGAACUCAAGGAAUACGAGUUUUCCAAAGAUGACAUCCGUAGCCUCCUGCAGCAGCAGGAGCAACAGCAGCUGGAGGGGCGGCUGCAGGGGCAAGGGCUGGCGACAGCAGGGUCCCUCCGAGAGCCGCCCUGGCUUGGGGCUGUGGGUCCUGUGAAGGGGGGCGGCUACAAGCUGACACCUGCGUUAGGGGCGACGCUAUUCCAGGAUGCAUUUGAGAUGCCACGCAGGCGAGUGGCUGGUGCGGGCAGGGACUGUGCUCACACCAGCGAUGACGAAUAUGACAAGGACGAUAACGAUCACGAGUUUGAUGACGUGGUCGUCGGCGGCAGGGACUUUCCUGUGCGUCGUAUGGACACCAACGGUGCUAUCUUGGUGUGCAACCGGCCAGGUCUGGAGGGAGGCAGCUCAGAUGAGGCGGAGCGUGACGGCCGCCCGAGGGCUUGUGGCAGCACCGGACUAAUGGAGGUGGCCGCCAUGGAGCCCCGCAGCUCUGCUGAGGGCUGGCACCGUGCUGCCUCACCUGAUGCAGGGAGCGGAGAGAGUGGCGAGGCACGAGGGAGAGAACAUGGUGAUGGUAACGGAGGUUGGUGCGUUGAUGCCUCUCCGCCGGAACCCUGUCUGCUGACGCGCAGCGUGGCUGGGGAAGAAGUGAGGACGCAGGCCACACCCUGGGGCUCACUUCACUUGCAGCGGCUGGUGUGCGGAGAGCGAGAAGGAGAGGCAGAGGGGGAGAACGACAACGAUGAGGCUCGAGACAGCAAUGAGAGCGACGAAGGCCAGGGGGAAGGUCUUGACUCCAUGUACCUCCUGCCGAAUUCCACCGCAUGGCUCGGUGGACGAAUGAGCGGAGACGUAACGGGAGUCGAACCGGUAUCAUCCACGUCGCUGUUUCGCUCGGACAUCAGACCACCACAGGAAAGAAGGGACUGGACCAGGAUUAAAGAGGAGCAGGCACACGGGGGCCCAGAUGUGUGUCCGGGCGUGGUCUACCAGGACGAACGAGGCGAGUGGGUGACUGACCUGGCAUUCUUCACGCCGCUGGACACGCUCACAGACACGUACGGGGGCCUUGCUCACGCCACCUCCAAUGACGGCGACUUCAUCUCUGGCAAUGAUGUGGCUGCACUCAUGGACGCUGAUGAGGAGGCCUUCCUCAAGGAGAACCCUUUCACGCAGCUAGAGACGUGCGAGGGGGCGAUGGUGCCGACCACCGCCGAUGGUGGUAGUGUUGAUGAUAUCACAGCAGCCGCGGCGACGUUGGCCGAUGUGACACUGGGCAUGGGCGACUCGUCAUGGCGCCUGUUGCCCGAUGGCCACAUGCAGCUGCGGGCCUCGCUGGCACCGGACGGCGGUGGUGACGAAGAGGAGGCCGACGCCUACAUGCGACUCUCACUUGGCACGUUCAUCCGCCAGCGUUCAGAGGCGCUGGGCUCGCUCUGGGGCAAUGCGGCUUCCUCCAUGAGGCCGUCAUUUGGCUAUGACAUUGUGUCCCCCGAGAGGCGAGCGCCGUUUGCGCUGCUCCGCAUGUCAGACGCGUCGUCCUGCUGCUCAGACGCCACCGCCGAGCGAACACUGCAGGAUGGGCGGGACGAUGGCGAGGACAGUGGAGAUGGCGCAGAGCUCACCUUGUUUCCUGUAUCGGUGGAGGAGGCGGUGUCACCGGCGCCUAUACCGUCGCAGACGGUGCUUUUGUCACCGGCCCGAACACCGUCGAGUGAGGAGGCCGGGCGGCGUGGCGCGUCUGGGCGUGAGCAAGGACAGAAGGGGGAUGGAGCGGCCACCCACCCUGAAGAAUCUGUGCUACACAUCAGCAGCAUCGCAUCGGCCAUCGCCAAUGCGUCUUUGAACGCUGACCCCAUGCAGCUUGCGGCCAUGAUCAUGCAUCUUUCAAACAAGGGCCACCGGGCCCAGCCACCUGGAGCGGUCACCAGUCCCACCCAGUGUCCCCUGGCGCCAGACUCGAGGCAACUGCUUUCCGUUGAACCCCGUGAAAACCUCACGGCACCACCACCAUCAUCAAUGUCUUCAUCGUCAUCGGUGGCACCGUCGGGUGUGAAACCCAGAGAGCAAGAUGCCGGCUCCGGUUCGCAAGCUCCUGAUGACGGUGCGGAUGCUUUGAAAUCGGUGACACCAGAAUCACCGCUCAUCCUGUCCCCGUUUGGGGCCGUUUGCGAAGCGUCGGCGGCAGUGUCUCUAACGGACGAGCCUCUGUCCGUGUCUGCAUGGUGCGCGUCCGUGUUUGGCGCCGGCGGUGGCAGCGUGCUGGCAGAGGAGAGUCGCAUACUGGAGCGCACCUUCGACUUGGAGAAGUACCUCAAGCAGGUGUCGCUCUAUGACGACGGCAAUGAAAAUACGAAGGAGGAGCGGGGCAGUGUGAACUUCGCCGCCACCGCCAAACAUGCCACCUUCGCAACCACCGCUGCCGUCAUCGCCCCCGACCCCUCGACCGCCAUCCCUGCCCGUGAGCCAGGAGAUGAGACGCUGACGUCGCCGCCACUGAGCCGGGUCGCCCGGCCAGGCGACGCACGUGAGAGACGGAGCCGAGGCGCCGGUCCCAAAGACGGUCCACCGCCGGUGUCGGCUCGAGGCUCAAUGGUUGGCGUAGAGGCACGAGCGGAGAAGCCCAGCACGAGUGAGCGAUCGGCGAGGCCAUCGGACCUGCGGCAGAAGGAGUCUAAGGUUUCGGCAAGCAGACGAGCGUCGGGGGCUAAGACAACGGCGAAGAGGGAGAAGGUCGGGGAGCGCACGGUGAUCGUGGGGGGGGACUCGUUGGUGCCAGGAGCUACGAUCGGAGUUGAGCAGCUGCUCGCUGGCACCGGAGGGCAAUCGCGCACGCAGCAAGAUGGGACCUGGAGCCACAAGGGGGAGAGGAACGUCCUCCAGAGAGACGUCCGGACAGCGGGGAAUUCCACCGAUGAGCACAACCUGGGGUCAAGCGAGCCACGGGGAGGGCAGCCCGAGGAGACUUUUCUGUUCCGCCCGUCCACGUCGCCGCUGUCUCACUCGUCGCCAGGCCAGGGAUCUGACACCAGCAACUCUCCCAGCACCAACACUGCCCCCAGCGUCGUGCGUGAGGACCGGACCGGUGGGACGUCUGUGCCGUGCGCCACUCCAAGCGUGAACGGGCCAGUCGGCCAUGCGUCCCCUACCUCCCCGUGUGACCCAAGCCUCAGCCGCCUCACGUACCUGUCUGAAGGUGACAGCACCCUACAGAACAGCAUCUGCUUCCCCCCGCAUCCCAUCUCCACCACCAAGUGCAAUGAACUCAGCACGACCAUCGUGUCGAGCAGCCCCACGCCAGACCUGGAUGCUACCCUGACCCCCGCGUCCAGCGGAGUCGAGCUACAGCACAGCCCUCACCAAACCCUGCGGCUGUCCUCCACCACCUCCUACCACCAUGUCGCCAGUUCUGGCACCAUCCGGUUGCCACCCGACAGAGUUACAGACCCCGGGAAACUGGCAGCCCCUCUUCGAGUCCUGGCGUCCAACGCCGUUCCGACGCUGCUCACGGCGCAGCCUCUGAUGUCCUCGGCGGCGCUGGUGCAGGGCUACCUGACGGACAACAUCACAGCCGACUAUCCCGGCGCACUGGCCACGCCGCACUACACGGUCCCGCCGGCCCCCACCGUGCCGCUUCCGUCCUCGUGCCACCUGCACUGCGUCGCCGGCGUCACCGGGGCUGCCUUCCCGACGGCGGGAUUCAUGAGUUCAGUGCCGGCGGUGAGCUGCACCGCCGCGAGUGCCGGACUGUACAGCAUGCCGUCACUCGCCGGAAUCCUUCAGGGGGCGCAACACGGGCUGCUUCCGGGAACUCAUUCUGGAAUGGUGCACAUGCUGGACCUCGGGGCGACACCGUGCCGCGUGCUGGUGCCGGAGGAGCUGGGCUUCCCCAAUGCGUGCUGCGUGGGCAUCGCGGCACAGACAUCGCUCAAUGUUUACAACCCCACGGAGCGCUGGCUGCAGGUGUCACUGUGCCUGUUGAGUACCUCCAUUGACGGCGAGAAGGUGGAGGGUGAGAGCCAGCAGUGCUUGGUGUUCAAGAGCCAGACAGUGCUGGGGCCGCGCUCCUCCGAGGAUGUGCGCGUGCUGCUCGUGCCACGCCGGGCUGGCGUGCACGUGUGCGUGCUCUCUGUGGCGUCGUGGCCCGUGGCGGCUACGCCGGUGGAUGUGGCGCACGCCGGCGCCCUCGCCUCCCGCGUGCUGCUCACGGCGCUGGCGCAGCAUCCCCAUGUUCAGUUGGAAGCCGGGAGUGGCCAGGGCGUGGAAUUUGGCGACGUGCAGUGGGGCACGGCGCGAGUACUGCCGGUGCGGCUGACGAACCGAACGCGCGCCACUGUUCCCGUGCGUCUUGUCAUCUCUGCGAACGCUGUGGCGUGGCGCUGCUUCACGUUCAGCCGAAGCGACCCAGAGACUGCGUCCAACCCCACGACAGAGGCCCUGUCCGCUCCCUCCAUCAUCAACCUCGUGAUGCAUGCUGCACACUCCGCACAGGAGGCCGAGUCCCAGGCGGCCACUUUGUGGAUUUGCUUCAGAGCUCCAGCUCGGCACGGCAGUCGGACUGACGCCGUGGGUCCAGUGGAGCACUUCUCGGCACGCGUGGACGUGGAGCUGGACAGCCCCGGGCCGAGCACCGUCGUGAGCAGCCUGCCCCUCCGCGCCCGCGUCGGCGUCGCUCGUGUCCAUGCCCCCAAGCACUUGCAGACGCUGGAGUUCUUAGCCCGCCCUGGCACGUCCACCGUUCGGAAGCUUCCGCUGCAAAACGUUGGGAACAUCAACGUGGAGCUCAGCAUGAAGGUUGUGUUUCCCGGUGUGGCGUUCUCCGUUCAGCCGAGCACACUGCACCUUUCUGCUGGUCAGGAGUCGGAUCUAUCUGUCUCCUUCGCUCUGUCCGAUGACAAUAUCUGCCCUGCCCAUGGCCUGUUGCAGAUCCUGGUGCUGCCGAUGGGCCCCCAGUACGAGGUGUGCCUGAAAGGGGAGGUGCAGCACCCAUCGCCCCUCCUCAACAUUCCCCCGCUCCUCUCCAACAAGCAGUUCCUCAGCUGGGGUGGCGUUUCCCUGGGGCGCGCCACCCAGCAGAAGCUGACCCUACGGAACAACUCGGAGACAGCCUCACUGCCACUGCGCAUGGUCAUCCGUGGGCAGGAUCACGACUGCUUCCAGCUGCAGAGCACGUUUGGCCGGGAGGAGAGGCUGAGCAGUGCGCGCGAGCUGGUGCUGGGCCCGCGCCAGGACGUGCCGGUGCGCCUUCUGUUUGUCCCGACGCGCCGCACCUGCAUGCUCGCCAAGCUGGAGAUCAAGCAGAGCGGCACACGCUCGACUGUGCCCGGCGUCAAGUUCACGAUCCCUCUGUCAGGCUACGGCGGCUGCAGCCACGUGUUGCUGGAGGGUGCCCGGAGGAUGUCCGACAGCUACGCGGCGGUGCUGAGAGACGUUGCGGAUGGGCGUGUGAGCAGCACGCGCGUGCGCCUGCGCAACGCGGGGACACGCGCCGCCUUCGUGCGCGCCGUCUGCUUUGGUGACAUGCAGGCGCGCGAGGUCGCCGACGGCUCUGUGUUCACCAUCUCCCCGGGGCACUUCGUCCUCAAGGAGAGAGCUGAGCAGGAGGUGGAGUUGACAUGCCGGGCGACUGCACGGGAAUCCGCGCUGUGCAACACGAGCACCGCCCUCCUCGCCGUCGUCUGCUUCUUCUGCGGCGACGAGAUCACACGGCAGCUCUUCCGCAGGGCCGUGGCACAGACAGAUGGGAGGUGGAAGCCGGCGCUGUCGGAGGAAAACCCCCUGAGGGCCGUCGACUUCCAUGUGCCCUUCCCAGGGGAGGAGGCCGUGACCGAGGUGUACGACCUUCCAGAGCGGCCCAAUGACGCCGCCUCCUUCUACAGCCACAUGAGCCGUGUAUUGCUGUCUCUCGCGGGGCGUGCGGUCCAGCCGGGAGCGGCUGCAGACACCGACACGGUUGACACGGGUUACGCCGACAGCCUGGAGGACACGGCACAAGCAGAGACUCACCUGAGGGAUGACGGUGGCCAGCGGCGCAGCACCAGCAGGGAAGGUGAGGCCCAACGGGCGACAAGGCAGCAUGGCAGCACCUCACUGGAUGUGCUGCCCGUGCGGGGACCCCAGAGCGAGGGGGCGGCCGCGGGCGUGGAGGCGAGCGCAUGGAGCGCCGAACCCACACUACUGCUCCUGCCGGCGCCCACCAUCGGUUACUCCGAAGGACGCGUGACGCUGAGGAACCACACAUCACGAGCGCUGCCGUUUGAACUGUCCUGGCCUGCGCACUGCCUGACCGUCACUCCCCAUCAGGGUGUGCUCGACCCACAGGGGGCGCUGCUCAUCCUGGUAAGCCCCACGUCAUCUACGUCUGCAAAAACGAAGCUGCCCUGGAGUGGCCGGCUUUACGUGCACUGUGACAACCAGCAGCAGGUGGUGCGCGUGCAGAUCCGAGAGGAUCUGGUGCAGGCUGACAUGGUGUCACCAGGCCCCGCGGUGGGACGCACGCUCGCCGUUCCACACGCCACGCCCGCCACACCUGCCAUCCCACCCGCCAUGCCGCCCGCCUUGCUCGCCACACCGAGCAUACAGGCAAGACGGUCUCUGCCCUUGCCAGUGCUCGGCGGCGUGGAGGUGUCCAACAAGACCGUGUACUUCCCAGCGACACGCGUCGGAGAAACGUCCAAGGCUGCGCUGGAGUUCACCAACCGUGGCACUGAGGAGGUGAAGUGGUACCUCACCUCCUUUGCUCCUCCGUAUGUCAAGGGAGUGGCUGGCUCUGGUGACGUCUUCCGUGCCACCUACUCCACCUUCCGCUUCUCACGCAUGGCCGGCACGCUGGAGGCCGCUGGCAAGGCCACGGUGUGGGCUGAAUUCAUGCCUCGCGAUGGGGGACGCUACGCCCAGUUCUGGGACCUGGAGUGUCACCCCGAAGGGCACACACACCUACGGGACCACACACGUGUGCAGCUUUCGGCAGAGGCACUCGGGGAGACACUGGGCGGAGGCACCGACGCGGAGGCAGUUCCUGUGGGCCUUGUGAAGACGGCGCCGGCACCGAGCCCACCGCGGGCGCGGGAUGGCACUGAGCUCCCCACGCCAGCCCAACACAGCCACGGCUGCCCGGCACACGAGGACGGGAAGGGGAGUGCUGGUGCCACCGCUACCACCACCGCUGCUGGUGGGCUCUAUGUGCCCCGGGAGUCAUACUCCUUCCCCCAGACGGAGCUCGGCUCCUCCAGCACUGUCAAGGUGUCGAUCCGGAACAAAACGUCGCAGCCACACACCCUGAAGUUUGUGUGUACGCGAGCUCCUUUCCACAUUCAGCACUCGAACCACUUGAUCCGGGCCCAGCACUACGUGAAUCUACCGGUGCAGUUCAAGCCACUGGUGGCCGGCACCAGCGAGGGGCUUCUGGUCAUCGAGACGGCGCCAGGGAGCAGUCUGUCCGUGCGCCUGCACGGGGAGGCCAUAGCCGCCCCACAGUGAUGCACAGAGAGGAGGAUGGGGGGAGAUGGUGCUUUCCUAUCAGGCUAUCGAUGAUCUAGCACGCUCCAGCACUCUUGUGUACAAGCAUGUGCACGUGUGUGUAGACGCGUGUCCUUGUGCACACAAUCGUGCUUUCUUGUGUACUCUUGUGUACGGGUGUGUUUGUGCUCAAAAGCACGUGCUCUCGUGAUGUGCUUGCUCGUACAUACGCACUUUCACGUGCUCAUACGAAUAUGCGCGGUCAUGCACGCACGUAAACAGUACUUAUUGCUCAUACACGCACGGUGUGCGUUCAUAGGUCAUUCACAACAGCAAAUGCAUGUGUUCACGCACACAUGUUCAUAAAUUCAUGCUCCUCUGAACACUCAGAAACAUGCCGUCUCACACGCGCAUUAUUGUACACACAUUCAAAAACAAUGAUGCGCGCCAGUUCACACUCGUAAUCGUAACGUUCCACGAAAAUCGCCGCACAUUGUUGAUGUAGGUUUUUAUAAGAGGUGAAUUUGGGCAACUCGUUGGUGACUCGUCCACACACGCUCGUGAGUGGACGCGUUUAGCCGCACACGCUCAACAGCAGCGGCCGCCAUUUGCCGCUAAGUGGCUGUCACCUCACCAAGGUGCUUGUGCAAGGCCAGGUGCACUCCAAGGCCACGUGAAGGGUCGCUGACAAGAGGCCACGGGAAAGACCCAGGUGCCAUGGGUUGACUGACUGACAUAACUGGCAGAUGCACUAGCUUUAUCCCCUGCUCUGCCAACUUGCUGCGUUUUAGCCGCUUGGCACUCCGCUCAUUGUUGUGAGCGUCGCUCCUUUGCCCUCCGCUGUUGUUGGAGGGCAACUGCCUAAAACUGCCCAGUAGCGUCCUUCACGAACCUCCUCGUGAAAAGUCACUUACACACAUGCACGCCCGUUCACAUUCCAGUCACACCUACCCAUGAUCACAUGCGCAUACUUGGCUGUCUCGCAUGUUAGCAUUCGCCGAGAAGUCUAAAUGUAAGAAGAAAUAUUCACUCCCGUCCACAGCAGCAGCUGCCUUCAUUUUUCUUAAGCGAUUAACUGUUCCUCUUGUGUUUACAUACAACACUACACACACACGGCGGACAAAUUAAUGGAAGCCUUUUUGAGAUUGCUCGAUCUUGGUUCAAUUGGGGGUAUUAGGUAGGCGAGUCUGGUCCACAGCAAAAUAUUGUUUGUUGGUAUCAUGGGUUGGUUGUGGAAAAUUUCCAGCAAUUGCUCAUUUACAAGAUUAUCUUUGCAUUAACAUUUUCUGGGGCAGCGUGCCCUGUAACUAAGCUGAGAGGGUCCCCUCGAGGUGAAAUCCACGAAACAGACGCCGUGCCUACAAGGAGGACGGCAGGCUCAAACCACAAUUCUGUUUCAACAAAAAGCUAAAGUGUUAUUCUUGAGUGCAUGCGUGCGUGCACAUACAUGUGGAGAGCUGCGGCUGCUCCGCUCCCCCAGCAUUCCCAUAUUCAAUACCUGGCCGUGGUGCUCACCGCCGCGUGACGGCUGUGACCUCCCCUCGGUAGCCUCAACCGAGAAUGGAGAAACCGGCAACCGGGCAUUUGUUGGCGCUAGCUCCAUCCUUCAUUGCCACGCCGGCCCUGAUAUGCAACACGCUCACUCGCAUCGUGGCCAUGGCAGUCCAUGGAGCUAAACUAGAGAUGUUUGUGUUUAGGGAUUAUGAAUUCGUGUGGAAGGCUUUUGUGUCGGGCUUUGUGCUCGUUGUGCUAGGGUUAGACCAGGUUUAAUGUUAGGAUUACAUUAGGUUUAUAGUUACGUUUAAGGACACUAGCAGUUGCGGAGAGUGUGAAGUCCACAUCUGCCUGGAUUACUACUGCAGGAGUGUUUCUCACACUAGGGCAUAUCUUGGGAAAAGGGUAGAAACUAUGUGUACGUGUUUCGUCUUGAGUGGUGUGUUAGAAUGCAACCGAUAAAAACCGUCCACUUUUAAUUUCUUAUAACGGAGGGCAUCGCGAGUCAACCAGCACAGGUGGCGUGGCAACAGCCCUACUCCCACAUGUGGUGGAGGAGAGCGUGCAGCGCAGGGGUCGCGCGUGUCCGGGACGUGCUGCUGCUGGCGGUUGUGGGCUCCGCAGGAAGCUGGUGGAGUUGGACGGGGUCGUGGCGGCGCCCUCAGGAGGUCGCGGGACAAACGAAAUCCGCGCGUGAUGGGCAACGGUGGUGCGAUUGGUGGCACGGCAGCAGCUUGUGACGUGACGUGGAGGGAGAAGUUUGCGAGUUGUGCGCGUGUUUAGCCAAAAGCCAUUUCAAGCUGUUCAACACGUGCACCAGGCCCUCGUUCGUCUACAGUUGUAUGUACCCAGGAGACUGUUAUGAACUCAGACUGGGCCUUAUUAAUUGGAAAAAAAAUGCAGCAAAUAUAUAAAAUAUACUAAAAACAAAUUGCUUAAAUAUUUGGCUACACGACAUGCACUGUGUGUGUGUCUCUGGUGUGGUGCAAGUCAGUGGCCUUUUUGUCUCACGAGAACAAUGUCAUGCCGCCACCACGGCGUCCCAUGCACGUUUGGAGUUGAGGUCAUUAUUUGCAUUACUUUCCAACAUCGGAAUUCAGAGGCUGUCCCAAUGUCGAGAGCUCUUGGUGAUCCCAAUGAGGUGACCUCAAUGUCGAGAGCUCUUGGACUGGCGUUGGCCAUACCGGGCGAGAUGUGGUGGAGUCGCUGAGAACGUUCACUACAAACGCGGUCAUUGACGCUUAAUCCCAAAACCAGAUGCUUCGUGAUCGAUACUUCCUACUGGACUUUGAUGCGUCUUUUACAUUAUUUUAGAUUGAAACCACUCCUUCGCAGUGUGUGGUGGUACUCGCCCAGUCGGCACAUGAGAGGUCGUGAAUUCUAACCCAAGUCGAGGCUUAUCAGAAUGAACAGCCACAGGUCAACAAAGUUAUCGCGAGGAGAGUGACCCGCGCCAUGGGCGUAUGUGGACUACACCGCUGGUUCGGAGCCUGCCCUGCAUGAUACGGCGUGUGAUGCAUUCGGUAGAUGCCUGUCAAGCAGUGUUCGUUAUAUCGCCAUGGAUUGGACUAACAAGAACCAGGCCAACCCAUCUUUAUAUUUGUUGUGGGGAAUUUAUUUUUUUACUUUUUUUUUUAACCCGGAUUUGUGGGCAUCCCAUGAAGCCCAUAGACCAGCGUCUGGUGGGCUUAUGCUGCAUUAUUAACCGAAGCACGUGUGAGUUUUUUUAAAUAUUGUUUUUCUCUGGACCGCGCCCAGAUUCUGCAGCUUCCCGUGGUCUUCAAGGGGUCUAGAGCAUUAGGCUUUUCUUCCAAUGAAUACAUUCCAAUCAAAAUGUGGCCUUGGAUUUUCCCAGGGGCAUUUCCUAGGUGUAUCUAGAGAUACGUUUACUCACAUCGUUAUUGCUGGAAAAUAAUCUGGCAUCGUACGUGUAGAGCAUGGGUCCACACGUAGCGAUGUGUACAGAACAAUGAAUGUCGCUUGAUGUGAUCUCUUCAUGGAUUUGCCAGGUCCUCUUCCGGACGCGGCAGUUCAAACAACGGUGCCAGAUUCUCAACUCCCCCACCUCUCCGCCCAGCAGCAUAACCGAGCACACCACAGUCGAUCAGACAGUCGUGUGUGGUGGGAUAAAGUGUGAGUGCUAAACUCUUCGCGGACGUGUCGGCAGCGUGGAAGUGUAGGCCACGUGCCCUCUGGAGAGUUCGCUAGAGCUCGCGUAGAGGUCCUUCUGCCAGCAGGUUACACGAGCAAUAUGCAGGGCUGCACAUUUAGCUUUGUUCUUUACAAGUUGCGACAUGUUGGCCGGGCGUCUGUCAUCGUCAUCACAAUACAUGGCCACCGCCCAUUCGUCACCCUGUUCAGUCUUCGUGCCAGUGGUGGUGCAUGGAUCCGGUGUGCAGAAGCCACUCUUGAGCCGUCUAGGUAAUGCACAUUCGAUGUGUAGUAAUAAACUAGUACUGGACUCUCGCCAUAACUGUCCCCAUGGGAGCUGCAGGAACGAAUGGACUAUGACAGUGGAUUGCACCGAUUAUUCAAUGAGACCACCUGCACGAGUCGCCAGAGACAUCAUCUGGGCUGGAUAUUUGUUACCUUAUCAAACUGGAGCCAAUAGCUACCACCGGCAUCACAUUGCGUAAACUGCCUCGAGCGCGUUCGCGUUCCCUUGACGUCCAUUGCUUUAAUUGAGAAUGGGAAUGUUUACUCCGGACGGGAUGAUUCUCAUCUCGACGGUUUGCGUGUUUUUUUUGUAAUUUUCAUAUUUUAAAAGAAUUAUAACUGCGUCUCCGUUCCCGCCAGUGGAGCUGCCACCACGGUGUUGACCGCAAAAUCUCAACGGAGGGAAACGACCGAUCAUCGGGAUGAGAACGGCACCCUUGGUGUUUGAUGCAAACAGGCAAGCUGCUCGCCCGUUCACGGUGGACAGAGCCCCGAUGUUUCACCGCGGUUGAAUCGCACCGACACCGCUCAUGUGCCGAGUGGCCUCUGCCGCGUAACUGGCGUCUGCGGAAGCACAACCACUCGCUAGGAAGUGACUAGUUAAGGUUGUUUGGUAUUUUCAGAACAGACUGAGCCCCAGCACGGGAAUAUGGAAUCUCUCGGUUGCGACCAACAGUGUAGAUGAGCACUCCCUUGUUGUUGGAGCAUGAGGAACACCGAUUGCAUUCCACCAUGGACAGCACCCCCAAGUCUGUUGUUGCCUUUGUCGAGCUGGACAGCACUGAGCAGCUGUCUCGUAAUCAAAUCAUCAUCAUCCUCACCAGCAUUGUCUUCAUGCAGUGUUUGUUAACUUCAGCAUACAUGGCAGCAGUGUGAAAUUGUCUCUUCAGCGUGUGCUGCCCUGCACUUUA